GGAUUUAUCUUUCUUACAAUCAGCUGAGUGGCGCGAUUCCCACAAAUCUAUCCCAAUGUUCACGGCUUGAGAAGUUGAGCCUCUCUUACAACUCUUUUAGUGGAGAGAUACCUUCAGAAAUCGGCUACUUAACAUCUCUUCAGGGUUUAGCUCUUGGUGGUAACAAUUUGAAGGGUAUGGUUCAAGUUCUUAUCACAUAAAUUUGUGUAAAUGAGAUUUUAUUAGUUUCAUGACACUUUUUUUGCCAGGAAUACUACCACAUGAGAUUGGCCAUCUUCAGAGUCUGGUUACUUUUGCUGCUGAAAAGAAUGAGAUUGCGGACUCAAUUGAUUUCAAUAUUUUCAUGAAUAUGUCUUCUCUGCAAAACUUAGCACUAUUGCGUAAUAAAUUCACGGGGAACCUUUCAAGGGAUGUCAGGAAUAUUACCAUGCUAACAGUGUUACAACUCCAAGAUAACCAUUUAACAGGUACAACAGAGUAAUUUUCAUGUAAAUUGUCUGUUUAGCUACAAUAUGUGUUUUUGAAAUCUCAUGUUUUGCAGGGCUUAUUCCCACUGAAUUUGGCCAACUUUACCAUUUGGAGACAUUAUCAUUAUCAUGGAACAGCUUGAGUGGUUCGAUUCCCCAUGAGCUCUUUAACAUUUCAACUCUUCGGAAUCUUCCACUUACCGGCAAUGCUCUGUCAGGGGUUCUUCCAACCCAUUUAUGCCAUGGUUCUCCCUUUCUUGAACAACUUCUUCUUGACAGUAAUUCUAUCAGCGGAGCAAUACCCAACUCCAUCUCUAACUGUUCUCAACUCACAAUUCUCGCACUCGGUGAAAACAAAUUCAGUGGUUAUAUACCUACUCAUCUCGGCAACCUAAGACUUCUUCAAGCUCUUACUCUGUACAGCAACAAUCUUACCCAGGCACCAUCUUCUUCCUUCAUUACUUCAUUGACAAAUUGCAGGUCUCUAACUCUUUGACAAUUGAUGAUAAUCCUCUAAAUGGUGUCAUUCCAGCUUCUGUCGGGAACUUAUCUUCCUCACUUCGAACAUUCACUGCCUCCAACUGCAAAUUCAGUGGCAACAUUCCUGUUGAAAUAGGCAAUUUAAGCAAUUUGAUGCAUUGGUUUGCCAGGAAAUGAGUUAUCUGGUAAUAUUCCACUAACUAUAAGCCAUUUGCAUGAACUUCAAGGAUUAUAUCUGCUUGAUAACAGGUUGGGAGGCUCAAUACCACAUGCUAUAUGUGAUCUAUUCAGCCUCAAUACUUUAGUUAUGAGCCAGAAUCAAUUUUCAGGCCCAAUUCCUAAAUGUCUGGGAAAUGUCUCUUCUUUAAGAAAUCUUUAUCUAGACUCCAACAUUUUGAAUUCAAGCAUACCAUCAAGCUUAUGGGGCCUAAAAGAUUUGAAUUCUCUAGACUUGUCCUCGAAUUCAUUGAAUGGGUUCUUACCACAAGAGAUAAGUAACUUAGGAGCAGCAAUAUAUAUAAACCUAUCGAUGAAUCAGUUGUCAAUGUCUCUUCCUAGCACUAUUGGGAAGUUGCAGAAUUUGAUUGAUUUGUCUUUGGCAAAUAAUAGACUAGAAGGUUCUAUUCCUGUGUCUAUGGGAAGCAUGAUCAGUUUGGAAAAUCUCGACUUGUCGUACAACAACCUCUCUGGUUCAAUUCCAAAGUCUUUAGAAGCACUUCAACACCUCGACUACUUUAAUGUCUCUUUCAAUAGAUUAAGUGGAGAAAUUCCUAAUGGAGGUUAUUUUAGAAACUUCACUAUGGAUUCUUUUAAGGGUAAUACGGCGUUGUGUGGAAUCCCCCAGUUCCAUGUCCAAACUUGCUCUUCCAUUUCUAAUCAUAGAUCAAAGAGAAAGAAGGUGGAACGAGCUCUAUUUAUUGUUUUCGGGGUUGUGGCUUUCAUCUCAAUUGUUUCUUUGGCCUUCAUAAUUGUCAGAAACAAAAGGAAAGAUAAGACGACUAGAGAAGUUGAUGAGUUGAUAUUCAUUGUGCCGGAAAGAAUAUCUUAUUAUGAACUGCAGCAGGCAACGAAAAAUUUCAAUGAAAGCAAUUUACUUGGCACCGGGAGUUCUUGCUCUGUCUAUAAAGGAAUUCUUAACAAUGGGAAGGAUAUCGCUGUCAAGGUGUUUAAUAUGCAGCUAGAAGGUAUUUCAAGAAUAUUUGAUGUCGAAUGUGAGAUACUACGUAGAUCGACAAGGAAUUGACAAGCGUCAUAGCAGUUGCUCAAUGAAGAUUCAAGGCAUUGGUACUUGAAUAUAUGCCAAAGGGAAACCUUGAAAAAUGGUUAUAUUCCCACAACCCUUGCUUGAAUUGAUGGAAAGAUUGAAUAUAAUGAUUGAUGUUGCAUCUGCUUUGGAGUAUCUUCACCAUGGUUAUUCAAUGCCCAUUGUCACAGCGACUUGAAGCCUAGUAAUGUGUUGUUAGAGAAGCAUGGUGCCCAUGUAAGCGACUUUGGGAUAGCAAAGUUGUUAUGCGAUGGAGAUAGCUUUGUGUUAACCAACACGCUAGCAACAUUGGGUUACAUUGCUCCAGGUGAAGUUCUCUAAAUAUAUUGAUUGCACUUCACUUUCAAUCAAUUAAUUAUUGUCUUCUUACUGCAUACAUCAUGAUUUUUGUUGUUCCAGAGUAUGGCUUGGAAGGGCUACUUUCAACAAGGUGUGAUGUGUAUAGCUACGGGGUGAUGUUGAUGGAAACUUUUACGAGAAAAAGGCCUACUAAUGAUAUGUUUUGCGGAGAUAUGAGCUUAAAGAGAUGGGUAGAACUCUCACUUUCGGAUGUCCCACAUGAAGUGAUAGAUGCCAACUUAGUCAUGAAUUUGGCGGAAGAAAUGAUUGACAAGAAUAUGCAGUGUGUAUCAUCCAUACUUGAAUUGGCUCUGAAAUGCUCUGCCGACUCUCCUGGGGAUAGAAUCAACAUGAAACAAGCACAUGCAGAGUUGCAAAAAAUCAAACAUCGAUUUUCCAAAUGAGAUUCAAGUAAGCUAUUUCAAAGUUUCUAUGUUACUCCUAAAAGGAUAUUCAUAUCCCAUAUUUCUAUCGCAAAGUUAGCUAAUGAUAUGUCUUCUUCAUUUGGUGGCUUUGAUGAGGCAUGAGGUGUUGAAGAUUUUGAAGAGGCAGUAGAUGCUAAUUGGGGUGAGGUGGAUGACAUAAAGAAUGGAAAAUUUGGCUUGGUCAUUUUGUUGUUUUUUGCUAUCACUGUUUGUUGGUUUUUGCUAUCAUUGUUUGUUGGUUUCUGCUUUUUUUUUUUUCUCGUUGUAAUAGACGUGACACCAUACUGCACAUAAUCAGCAGCUGCAUCUAAAAUCCUUUCUCAUCCACAAUUUGGAACCAAUUUAUUUUCACAGAGGUAAACCAACUCACAUAUUCACUUUAAGAAUCAUCAUUUUUUUUACACAUGGAGCAACUUAUUACAAAUUGACUUCGAGCAUAUAUCUAUAAUCUAUACACACCAAGUCACUUUUCAGCAUUUGAGCAAUCAAAGUAAUUUUAUAAGAAGAUGCUUUUGUGUGUGCGAGAGAGGGAGAUUUGGGGGAAGGAAGGAGAGAGAGAAUGAGAGAUGUUUAAUUUUUUUUUUCUCUUCUAAGAAUUUUCAAAAUUUGACUUUUAUGUUUGGCCCCUAUCUAUUUAAUUUUGUUAGGGCUCUUAUUUGAUAAGCGGGCUGCAUUUUUUUUAAGAUUGGGCCAAUUUAUUUUAACAUCUUUAUUUGUUGGGUUUGCCCAUUUAAUUUAUUAAUUGAACCAAUGACUAGUUAAUUUAGAUUGUGAUUUAAUUAAUUAAAUUUCUCAUUAAUUAUUUCUCUACAAGUGUUAUUAUAUGCAUAUAAUUGUUUGAUUAUAUGUUUUAAUUUAUAUACUAAAGUCUUACCAAUUUAUGGAAGAGAAAUAUUUUUAAGUUGAUUUUAUGCUCAAGUUGAGUUUUUAAGUAAAAGUCAAGCAAGGGUAUUGUUGGAACCCUUAGCCAAGAAAAUGAAUUUCAAAUUUUAUUUUGAAAACUCGGGUGUUGCAAUCAUUAGAAAGUGAUGACAAGUUAUAUAUGAAGGCUAAGGCUGAUUUAGACUACGGUUAAGUUGAGAACUUAUCUUAGAGUCCUACAGAAGAGUUUUAGGUUCGAUCAAGCUCUAUUAAUUGUUUAAAUUGUCUAAAUAGGUAAGUAUUCGGACUUGUAAAAUUAGGACAAUAAUUUUUUUUAAGAGUAAAAUAGGACACUAAUUAAUAAGUGUUGCAUCCGCCGGACAUUUUUCGGCCAAUUAUUGGCCGAGAAAUGUCCUAUUUUUACGACACUUAUUAAUUAGUGUCCUAUUUUUACUCAAAAAAAAAUUAGUAUCCUAUUUUUACAAAUCCAAAAGUUUUUGUCCUAAUUUCCAAAUCAACAUAAGUUAUUGUCCUAAAAAAUCCCCUGACUCCUUAUCUUAUAGGUCCUACAGAAGAAGGUAUUUAGGUUCCCGAUCAAGCUCUAUUAAAUUGUUUGGAUUGUCUCCAAAUCAGGUGAGGCUUUAUUUACAAAAUGUAUGUUUGAGUUAAUAAGCUCAGUUUUUUGAAAAGUUAAAGUUGAUGGUUCAUGCUUAAAAUGUUUUUGUAUUGCUUCUACCAGAACAUUGUUGGCUCUGCCAACCAGAAUUGUGUACGUACACCAGAACCUGUUGUCUCGAGAGAUUCAAUGAAAAUCAGUUGUAGAUAGCGCCCAAUAGAUGAGCCAGAAUUGUGUACGUACACCAGAAUAUUAUCCUAUGCUUGACUAUGUUGAUACUUUCAUACUGUUUUAAUCUGAAUUCCAUUUUCUAACAUUUUCCCUAGCGAUUGUUUUCCUGCAUAUAUUAUUUUCCUAGUACAAAAUAUCAUUUUGGUCUCAGACCUUCGAACUUCCAAUCCUAAUAGGGAGAAUAAUUAUAUUAUAACCUUGUACUUGUUAACUUUUAAAUACGACGUAUUUUUUGAUUAAUGAAAUGAUGCUCGACUCUAAGGGCACAAUACCCAUUUAAUUCAGAUCAAACCCGAUGAACGUUAGAACACAUAUGUUUCAUUAUGCAUUUAUAAAAAAUGCUAUAGACAAUUUCUCAUGAUUCAAUAACUGAGUUUUUUAUUUUCCGAUACAUCAAAACCUCCUUUUUUAGAAAAUAUAUAAUGUAUUUGUGAUGAAGUAUUUGUGGUAAUUUUUUAAUUUUAAUCUUAGGGGCAGAUUAGUCAUUUAACACAAAAAGUGAGUAAUUUUUAAAGUUUUAUUUGAGUGGGUAAAUUUUCAGUUUAUUAAAAAAAUGGCUAGUUUCGUGUAUUAACUCAUUAUUUAAAUUGAGCAUUUGAACAUUUAAGCUUUUACAUGAGUGUUUUAAUUAGUAGAUUUACAGAUCCAAUAUUUCUAUAUCACAAUAAUUUUAAUUGGUCUCCAUCAGCCAAAGAAAGCCAUCUUAUUCUUACUCAUCCAAGACAAACGAUUUCAAGAGGAACUCAAAUACAUAUUCUCAUGCAAUACAAGAACCUUAGCUCAUCAACUCAUAGCAAGCCAACCACCACUGAUCCUCAAGCUUUCAUAUUCUUUGUAAACUUAUUACUUGUCUUUUUCAACAACAUGCUUUGUUUGCAAAUUUUGUGUAAACUGAUUUUAUAUAUAUACACCAAAGAAACAACCCCAUUCAUAUGCGAUAUUAUAAACUCAAAUGAGCAAAAGUUGAAUAUAUUUUACAACCAAUAUAAGCUGUACAUAUGUUUUCUUUUCAUUUAGAUGGCCCAAUAUUCUUUUUUUUAUUUAAUUGGGCUGGGGUUUGUAAUAUUAUUCGGGCCCGUUUCAUUUUAUUUAGCUGAGCCUUAUUUCUUUACAGAAUUGGGCCGAUGCAUUUUAUAUUUUGGGCUGUGCAUAUUUAUGUUUAAAUGGACCGCCUUGAUUAUUUAAUUAGACUAUGAUUAAUUUAAUUAAUUCUUUUUAAAGUAUAAUUUGUAUAAUAAUAUUAUAUUAUUAUAUGCAUAUUUUAAGUAAUUAUUUAUUAUAUGUUUGAAGCAUGACAUGAAAUUGAAUUUGCACAAGUAGAACUGUAGAAGUAUGAUGUGGCUGCUUCUUAUCUCCAUUGUAUAGUUUUGAAGUGUGGAUAUACCUUUUUACUGAUUCCUGCUCACUUUAAAUUAUCCUUUUGCAAGUGGGACUUUUCUCAAUCCAAAGUUUGAUUCUAUAUAUCUGUUUCUAUAUAAUCAAUCGAGAUACAUUGUAUAGUUUGCAUUUCUAUAUCGAUCAAGUCUCAACCUCAUGUCUACUUUAAAUUAUCCUUUUGCAUGUGCGUCUGUUUGUCUCAAACGAAAAAAACAAAAAAACAAAAAAAACAAAAAAGACGUCAAAAGCCACCACCCGUGAAGACUAUUAAGUCUUAUAAUAUUUGUGUAUAUAUGAUGCAUUAAUUUGCAGCCAUGGACAAAAAGCUUUAUUGCAUUUUGCCUUAUGCAAUCCUAAUUACCAUAACCUUCCCAAUGCUUUCUUCUGAAGCCAAACAACCUUUGAGUCUUGCAACUGAUCAAACUGCCCUUCUUUCACUCAAACAUACAUCUCUUUUACUUGCAACUAAUUGGACCAACUCCACCUCCGUCUGCAGCUGGAUUGGCGUCACUUGCAGCUUCCGCCACCACAGAGUAGCUGCCUUGAAUCUCUCCAGCAUGGCUCUCUCCGCCACCAUUCCACCACAGCUCAGCCACCUCUCCUUCCUCGUCUCCCUCGACCUCUCCGACAACCAUUUCUAUGGAGAUUUGCCACACCAACUGUCUCUCCUUCGCCGUUUGAAGUUCAUAUCUCUCCGACUCAACAACUUCACCGGAGACAUCCCUCCCAUGUUGGGUCAGUUACCAAACUUAGAGUACUUGAAUUUACGCAACAACAGCUUCAUAGGUUCCAUCCCAAAAUCCCUCUCAAACCUCACAAACCUACAAUUUCUUGACUUAUCUUUCAAUUCUCUAAGUGGAGAAAUUCCAAAAGAGUUUGGGAGACUUCAAAGUCUACAAACUCUAUCAGUUCAAUACAAUCGUCUAUCCGGUGCUAUACCAUCAGCCAUAUUCAACAUCUCGACCCUUGUAUCUAUUGCAUUGAGAGACAAUGAACUGAGUGGAAGUCUUCCAACAGACAUGUGCAGUAAUCUUCCAUUUCUUACUUUGCUAAGUCUUUCUUUCAAUCAGCUGAGUGGCGCGAUUCCCAGAAAUCUAUCCCAAUGUUCACGGCUUGAGGGGUUGAGCCUCUCUUACAACUCUUUUAGUGGGGAGAUACCUUCACAAAUCGGCCACUUAACAUCUCUUUGGGGGUUAUAUCUUGGUGGUAACAAUUUGAAUGGUAUGGUUCAAGUUCUUAAUUAUCACAUAAAUUAGGUUCAUGACGCUUUUUUUUUUUCCCAGGAAUACUACCACAUGAGAUUGGCCAUCUUUCGAGUCUGGUUACUUUUGCUGCUGAACAGAAUGAGAUUGCAGGCUCAAUUGAUUUCAAUAUUUUCAUGAAUAUGUCUUCUCUACAAAACAUAUAUCUAAGGCGCAACAAAUUCACGGGGAACCUUUCAAGGGAUGUCAAGAAUAUUACCAUGCUAACAAAUUUGGAUCUCCAGUCAAACCACUUUACAGGUACAACAGAGUAAUUUUCAUGUAAAUUAUCUGUAUGGCUACAAUAUGUGUUUUUGAAAUCUCAUGCUUUGCAGGGCUUAUUCCCACUGAAUUUGGCCAACUUUACCAUUUGGAGAUAUUAUCAUUAGACUUGAACAGCUUGAGUGGUUCGAUUCCACAUGAGCUCUUUAACAUUUCAACUCUUCGGAUUCUUGCACUCACCGGCAAUGCUCUGUCAGGGGUUCUUCCAACCCAUUUAUGCCAUGCCUCUCCCUUUCUUGAACAACUUUAUCUUGGCAGUAAUUCUAUCACUGGAGCAAUACCCAACUCUAUCUCUAACUGUUCUGAACUCACAAUUCUCACACUUUAUGAGAACANCAAGUUCUUAUCACAUAAAUUUGUGUAAAUGAGAUUUUAUUAGUUUCAUGACACUUUCUUUUCCAGGAAUACUACCACAUGAGAUUGGCCAUCUUCAGAGUCUGGUUGAGUUUUCUGCUGAAUCCAAUCAGAUUGCGGGCUCAAUUGAUUUCAAUAUUUUCAUGAAUAUGUCUUUUCUGCAAAACAUAUAUCUAUGGCGCAACAAAUUCACGGGGAACCUUUCAAGGGAUGUCGGGAAUAUUACCUUGCUAACAAAUUUAUUCCUCUCGGAAAACCAUUUUACAGGUACAACAGAGUAAUUUUCAUGUAAAUUAUCUAUUUAGGUACAAUAUGUGUUUUUAGCUACAGAUUGGAAAUCUCAUGUUUUGCAGGGCUUAUUCCCACUAAAUUUGGCCAACUUUACCAUUUGGAGACAUUAGGACUACAGUUGAACAGCUUGAGUGGUUCGAUUCCACAUGAGCUCUUUAACAUUUCAACUCUUCGGAUUCUUUCACUUGCCGGCAAUGCUCUGUCAGGGGUUCUUCCAACCCUUUUAUGCCAUGCCUCUCCCUUUCUUGAACAACUUUAUCUUGGCGGAAAUUCUAUCAGUGGAACAAUACCCAACUCCAUCUCUAACUGUUCUCGACUCACAAAUCUCGCACUUUAUAAAAACAAAUUCAGUGGUUAUAUACCUACUCAUCUCGGCAACCUAAGACUUCUUCAA
rnacentral:lncRNA from 1 species